rnacentral:RNase_P_RNA from 1 species
AAAGUAGACCACCUUAUCGCUGUGUGCAGAACUUAUUUCUGCAGCUGCUUCUUUUUGCUGCGAAGCUCAAGAGAAAAGGCUUUCAAAUUAAGUUUGAAGCAAAGAGGAAAGUCCGGACACCGUAGCGCAGCAUAGCGGGUAACGCCCGUCCGUUGCAAAACGAGGACAAGUGCAACAGAAAGUAUGUACAGGUAAUGCUGUAGUGAAACCAGGUAAACUCUAUGCGGUGCAACGCCAUGUAAACCAGCGCUCGAGGGUUGCGCGCCUGAUGUUGGAGGGUAGGCGGUUUGAUCCAAUGAGUAAUUAUUGGACUAGAUAAAUGAUAAGGAAUUGUGCAUUAGUACUCUACAGAAUCCGGCUUAUGGUCUACUUUUUUU